UGAUGGGAAUUGGAGUUUUGGAGCCUUAGCAUCAUUGCUCGACAUUAUUGGAAUCGUUACUAUUUACUCCUUUGCCAAUCGUGUCAUUAGUACGGUUGAUUUCAACGUCUCAUAUUAUUCAACAAUUAAGAUUCAAGAACAUGUGGAGAUAGAAUCAAAGGUUAAUGCAAAUAGAGGAAAGCUCAUGCAUGUGGUGGUUGAAGUUAGAAGGAAAGGAAAUGGUGAAGUAAUUGCUGAAGGAAAAUUAUGGAUGGCUUCAAAUAAACUCACUUUUGCUCAAGUGAGUAAACUUUGACAACUUAAAUAAACCAUGCUAAUUAAGAUAAAUAUAAUUCAGAUGUGUUAAUUAUGGACAUCUAUGAAAUGUACUUUUCUUUUGAAUCUAGGGCUUAUUUCAAACAAUUUAUGUUGUAGCCGUUAGAACAGAAAGUGUGUUCAAAUCUAAUUAUAUGUUCUUAUUUUUUACAGUGUUUUUGAAAAAAGCUUAAGAUAAAUGAUUAGUGUUUUGAUUUUA